GAUGAACGCUGGCGGCGUGCCUAAUACAUGCAAGUCGAGCGAACAGACGAGGAGCUUGCUCCUCUGACGUUAGCGGCGGACGGGUGAGUAACACGUGGAUCACCUACCUAUAAGACUGGGAUAACUUCGGGAAACCGGCGCUAAUCCGGGAUAAUAUAUUGAACCGCGUGGUUCAAUAGUGAAAGACGGCUUUGCUGUCACUUAUAGAUGGAUCUAGGCCGCAUUAGCUAGUUGGUAAGGUAACAGCUUAUCACGGCAACGAUGCGUAGCCGACCUGCGGGGUUGAUCGGCCGCAUGGGAACGUAGACACGGACCAUACGCCUACGGUAGGCAGCAGUAUGGAAUCGUCCGCAAUGGGCGAAAGCUUUACGGAGCAACGCCGCGUGAGUGAUGGAGGUCUUCGGAUCGUAAAACUCUGUUAUUAGGGAAAAACAAAUGUGUAAGUAACUAUGCACGUCUUGACGGUACCUAAUCAGAAAGCCACGGCUAACUACGUG
rnacentral:rRNA from 1 species